rnacentral:rRNA from 1 species
AACGGACGCUGGCGGCAUGCCUAACACAUGCAAGUCGAACGAGACGUUCGGGCCUUUUUGCGCACGGGUGCGUAACGCGUGGGAACCUGCCUUUGGGUUCGGUAUACCUCAGAGAAAUUUAAGCUAAUACCGGAGGAUGUCUUCGGACCUAAGAUCUAUCGCCUUUUGAUGGGCGCUCGUUAGUUUCGACUGUUGGUGGUGUAAUGGCCUAUCAAGGCGAGGAUGCAGAGCUGGUCUGAGAGGAGGACAAGCCACACUGGGGCUAAGACACGGCCCAGAAUCGUACGGAAGGGAGCAGUGGAGAAUAUUGGAGGAGGGGGGAAGGUCUGAUACAGCAAUGCCGGGUAAGUGAUGAAGGGCUUAGGGUAGUAAAGCUGUUUUAGCCGAGAUGAUAAUGACGGUAUCGGGAGAAUAAGCUCCGGCUAACUCCGUG